CCUACUUCCUCUCUUCCAACAUCCCAUCCCUUAGAGCUGAUAGCUUUGCAUGCUACUUUACUGACAAGAUUGAACAGCUAAGGAAACAAUUCUCCCCUCCUUGCCGUUCUCUUUCUCAACCACAUGUAAAUCAUGCUUUCCCUACCCUCCAGACUUUCUACCCGGCUACUAACCAAGAGGUGGCUGUGCUUCUCCAUUCCUCUCGCCCGACCACUUGCCCACUCG